rnacentral:rRNA from 1 species
CCUACGGGAGGCAGCAGUGAGGAAUAUUUGUCAAUGGGCGCGAGCCUGAACCAGCCAAGUAGCGUGAAGGAUGACUGCCCUACGGGUUGUAAACUUCUUUUAUAAAGGAAUAAAGUGCGGCAUGUGUGCUUCUUUGGAUGUACUUUAUGAAUAAGGAUCGGCUAACUCCGUGCCCGCAGCCGCGGUAAUACGGAGGAUACGAGCGUUAUCCGGAUUUAUUGGGUUUAAAGGGAGCGUAGGUGGGUUGUUAAGUCAGUUGUGAAAGUUUGCGGCUCAACCGUAAAAUUGCAGUUGAUACUGGCAGUCUUGAGUACAGUUGAGGUAGGCGGAAUUCGUGGUGUAGCGGUGAAAUGCUUAGAUAUCACGAAGAACUCCGAUUGCGAAGGCAGCUUGCUAAACUGCCACUGACAUUGAUGCUCGAAAGUGUGGGUAUCAAACAGGAUUAGAUACCCGAGUAGUC